rnacentral:rRNA from 1 species
UACAGAGGGGGCAAGCGUUGUUCGGAAUUACUGGGCGUAAAGGGCGCGUAGGCGGCCGCCUAAGUCAGACGUGAAAUCCCUCGGCUCAACCGGGGAACUGCGUCUGAUACUGGGGUGGCUUGAAUCCGGGAGAGGGAUGCGGAAUUCCAGGUGUAGCGGUGAAAUGCGUAGAUAUCUGGAGGAACACCGGUGGCGAAGGCGGCAUCCUGGACCGGCAUUGACGCUGAGGCGCGAAAGGCCAGGGGAGCAAAGCGGGAUUAAGCAAACCCC